CCUGCACGGCCGCCGGUGAAUCAAAAAGGGUCCCAGGAAACCUGUGAAUGUUGAAGGAAAUUCGUCUGUGAAUUUUUGGUGUUCAAGGAGGAGUCAGUAUUUAUAUUCAUCUUUUAAACUGGGAAGAUUUAUAUUUUAUUUUAAAACUUCUUGAUAUUUACAAUGAAUGGACACAGUGAUGAAGAAAGUGUUAGAAACAGUAGUGGAGAAUCAAGAUCAAUAAAAAUCCUUUGUUGGAAAGUCUGUCUGGAAAGGCACUUUCAUACACUGCUGGGGUACAACUCCUACAGAAGAAAAUUUACCAUAAUCAAGCAAAACUGCAAAAAUAUUUAUCCUUUCUCCAUCAUUCCCACUACUAGGAAUCCAUCUCAAAGAUACAGAAAUACUAAAAUAUUCCUCUAAGACUAUUCACUGUGACAUUAUUUAUAACAGCAAAGGAGUAGAAACAACACAAAUGACCAUCAAU